AGACAUCCGCACCGUCCGUUUGGACCCGCGAGCUGAUCCUGGACGUUGGUCUCUCCGUCCCCUGCUACAUAUAAGCCGCCUCCGGCGCGCGCCGUCUCAGCGUCUUCCCCAACCUGCACGAGCUCUCGUCUCCGGCGGCGGAAGCGGAAGGAAGCAGGCGGCCACCAUGGUGAAGGGACGCACGGGGCAGCGCGUCAGGCUCUACGUCCGGGGCACUAUCCUCGGAUACAAGAGGUCUAAGUCGAACCAGUACGAGAACACGUCGCUGGUGCAGAUCGAGGGGGUGAACACCAAGGAGGACGUCGCGUGGUACGCCGGCAAGCGCUUGGCGUACAUCUACAAGGCCAAGACCAAGAGCAGCGAGACCCGCUACAGGUGCAUCUGGGGCAAGGUCACCCGCCCGCACGGCAACUCCGGCGUCGUCCGCGCCAAGUUCAAGUCCAACCUCCCGCCGGAGUCCAUGGUUAGUAAUUCGCUCACUCCUGCUUCUCCCACUACGUUGUGUGAUGUGUUGCCUCCCAAUUGAUGCUGUCUGACGCUGGAGUUAUGUAUUGGGUGCAGGGACGCAAGGUCAGAGUGUUCAUGUACCCGAGCAGCAUCUAAGGUUUUGUUGGAGUAGGGAUGGCCAUGAUUAUUUCUUACUUAUCUUGAGCUGAAAAUUCCAUGUUUUGGUGAACCACUGCUGUGUUGGCAACUUAGUUUGUUCAUGUACUGAGAACAUGUGUAAGUUUUGCCAAAAUUUGUUGUCUAAAGGAUGAACCAUUAUCGUAAUGUUAUGCCAGCACCAGAGCUUAUUUUCAGCAUCA